GAAAGUCUGACGGAGCAACGCCGCGUGAGUGAUGAAGGUUUUCGGAUCGUAAAGCUCUGUUGUUAGGGAAGAACAAGUACCGUUCGAAUAGGGCGGUACCUUGACGGUACCUAACCAGAAAGCCACGGCUAACUACGUGCCAGCAGCCGCGGUAAUACGUAGGUGGCAAGCGUUGUCCGGAAUUAUUGGGCGUAAAGGGCUCGCAGGCGGUUCCUUAAGUCUGAUGUGAAAGCCCCCGGCUCAACCGGGGAGGGUCAUUGGAAACUGGGGAACUUGAGUGCAGAAGAGGAGAGUGGAAUUCCACGUGUAGCGGUGAAAUGCGUAGAGAUGUGGAGGAACACCAGUGGCGAAGGCGACUCUCUGGUCUGUAACUGACGCUGAGGAGCGAAAGCGUGGGGAGCGAACAGGAUUAGAUACCCUGGUAGUCCACGCCGUAAACGAUGAGUGCUAAGUGUUAGGGGGUUUCCGCCCCUUAGUGCUGCAGCUAACGCAUUAAGCACUCCGCCUGGGGAGUACGGUCGCAAGACUGAAACUCAAAGGAAUUGACGGGGGCCCGCACAAGCGGUGGAGCAUGUGGUUUAAUUCGAAGCAACGCGAAGAACCUUACCAGGUCUUGACAUCCUCUGACAAUCCUAGAGAUAGGACGUCCCCUUCGGGGGCAGAGUGACAGGUGGUGCAUGGUUGUCGUCAGCUCGUGUCGUGAGAUGUUGGGUUAAGUCCCGCAACGAGCGCAACCCUUGAUCUUAGUUGCCAGCAUUCAGUUGGGCACUCUAAGGUGACUGCCGGUGACAAACCGGAGG
rnacentral:rRNA from 2 species